rnacentral:sRNA from 1 species
AUUUUCAAUCAAAGAUAAAAAUGUGGUGUUAAUAAUUUGGUUUAUUUUCUUGUCCAGCUUAUAGAGAGCUACUAUGGCACAGGUCGAGACAAAUGCUAUUCUGUUCUGUUGUGUUUGUCUUUAGAGAAUGAAGUCAAAGUCUCAAUGUCUGCUGACUUUAGCGAAUAUUUUGACCAAAUAGAAAGCAUUAAAAUAGUGCCAACUGUAUACGCCGAGACCAAUCCUCCAAUUACAUAUGAUCUUGACAGUGUUAUUAAAUACAAGAAUGUAUAAACAACAUCUACCAGCUUUGUACAGUGCCAAGGAUAAAAAAUGACUUGGUUAAGAAAUAAAAAAAAGAACGAACACAGACUUAGUUAAUAGCAUUAUAGAUAUAUAGACUGGAUAAGGUUUAAAUGUAAUCAAUGAAUAAUUUUUUGGUACUUGGGAAAGAACGUAUUUUGUUCUUGGCCUACUCUAUACUAUUGGUUAAAAAUGACUAACCAAAAAAUAUAAUGAGAUUUCCUGUUUACUGUGAUAAAAUACUGGACCUACUAUGAUAAAACACUAUUAGAUGUCUUCAUGAAAGUUACUUUAAAAAAGUAAACAAUCGUAUUCUAAAAGAUGUGAUUAAAACAAGUCUUUACAUUAAU